ACCCUUCAUGCUAAAAACUCUCAAUAAAUUAGGUAUUGAUGGGACGUAUUUCAAAAUAAUAAGAGGAAACACUUUUCAACAUGUUUUAUGAGUCUACCGUUAUCCCCAUACCAAAACCAUAAAACAGACAUUACAAGAAAAUGUCCUGUAGACAAAUAUGUAUUUUGAUGAUGAAUUUAGAUUUCAAAAACUUCAGCAAAAUAUUAUCCAAUUAAAUCCUCUCAUGUCUGUGUGUGUGUGUGUGUGCAUGCACGUGUGUUUGUAAAAUAUAUCAUUACUAAUUGGCGUUUAUCUUGGGAGUUCAAGAUGGUUUCCAUAUUCAAUCAACCCAUCAAUGUGGACUAUGGUCACUUGAAAAGACCAGCAAAUCCUCUGCACAAAAGGCCACUAGAAAUUCAUUAAAGCAGCCUUCCAUCAUUCUCGAAAUUGACCAAAGCAUUCAACUACCUGAGAAAUAUUUAUGUUUGGAAAGCUAUUGAAAUGCAAUUAAAAAUAUCAGGAAACCUGUUUUUACCUUUUGUCCUAAUCUUGCUAAAUCCUUCUUAAUUUUAGGAGACACUGCUUCUCCUUCCACUGUUCUUUUACUUUCUCCUUCCCCUUUGUUUUUGCCUCCCCCUUCCUCUCCCUUUUCUACAUUCCUUCUCUCUCCUAAAUGCUGUAUAAAUUUCUACAUAUGUAAUCAUAUUAUUUACAAAUAGGAACAGUUUUACUUAUUUCUUUCCAGUCUGCAUUUAUUUUAUUCUUCCUUUUUUUCCUUACACACUGGAUAGAACUCUAAGUAUUAUGUUGAAAAAGAGUGAUAAAAGCAAACAUCUUUGCUUUAUUCCUGAGCAUACAUGUGGAAAACAUUCAGUGUUUCACAGCUAAAUAUGAUGGAUUUUUUGUAUGCUCUUUAUCAAGAUGAAGGAAUUUUCUGCUAUUUCUGGUUUGCUGAAUUUUUAUCACAAGUAACUGUUGAAUAGUGUCUUUUUCCCCUGCAUUUAUUGAACUGAUCAUGCAUUCUCCUAUUUUAGAAUAUUAAUAUGAUGAACUAUAUUAUUAGAUUUUUUAAAAUAUUGCAACUGUCUUGCAUUUCUGGAAUAAACAUGGCUUGGUCAUGUGUCACUUUUUUACAUAGUGUCGUAUUCAAGUUGUCGAGGAUUUUGCAUCUAGGGUAUAUUUGUAGAUUUGCAUCUAGGUUAUGUUGGUCUAAAGUUUUGUUUGUUUGUUUUCCUUUUCUUUUUUUUUAUCAUCUUUGUCUUCUUCUGUUUAAGUGUCAUGCUUGCUUCAUAAAAUGAAUUGAGAAGCAUUUCUUCCUCUUCUGUUUCUCGAAAAUUGUAGAGAACUCUUGUUUUUUGUUGUUGUUUGUUUGUUGUUUUGUUUUUUCUUAUUUUUAUCCUCAUACUGAGAACCAAACAGUCUGGAGUGUAAAACAUGGUUCCUCAUUCCAGUUAAAUCUAGUAUACAAUGACAACAACCCUCUUGGGUUAAGCAUUGGCCUACAAACAGAAAAAAACCUUCAGGGAGAUAGAUGCUGAUCUAGGCAUUGUGAGAAAAGCUGAAUUCAUUUUUAAUCAUGAAUGGCUUUUAAGGAAAGAAGAUUUAUUAACUAAAAUAAAUAGAUUAGAGGGAAUUCUCACCUAUGAGAGAGGAAGGGAUGGGAUUCAACCUGGAAAAAGUAAUGAAGUUUUAGUGAACUUGGUAAGGUAGACUCAACAAUUAAUGAUGGAUAAUGCUAGGACCCAACACUGGUAAUGAGUUUGUAUUAUGACUCAAUAGCAUCACUUUAUCACUUUAACACAGAUGGAGGCCUAAAUAACCAUAGGGUAAUGGUUCUUCUUAGAUGCAGAAGGACACAUUUAUAUAAUCUUAGGGACCCCAUCUCUGAGGUCACUCAUAAUUUAUAUUAAUUCAUUGUUAUUGCCAUUGCCCCAAGAAUAGAUAAGGAUAAGACAUCCUGUAGUACAGGUAGCAGAGAUAUAAACUAUUCUUAUUCUUGUGUCUUGUCUAUAGGAAGGGAGUGUAUCCUGGUGUAAGACAGCAUAUAGUAGAGACCAUUGUCAAUUAGGGCCUGUGAACUAAGACAGGGUGACUGGCUAAGUCCACAACCCAUUAGAAACCCAGAAAUAAUCAAAUCAUGGUGAGUAGUAAUAACACUUAUUUAUAAUACUAUACGGUAUAAAGACAAGAACCAAUUAUGUUGAGUAGCUGUAACAAAUAGCUCUAUCAUUCGUAAUAACUUUUUCUGUAAUAAAACUGAAUUGUAACAUGAUCAUACUGCAAUAUGACAUUACACUAGCAUUGUUGGUAAGAUUCAACUAUCUUAUGUAGAGAAGUUAUAUAAUGCUUAUAUUGAUAAUCAAAUGUAUUAAGAUAUUGAGUUAAAGCCUCUUCAGAAUGUAAUCUGGGUGAAUAAUAAAUGGCCUGAGAAAACAGAAUUCAGCUAACCAUUAUCUAAUUUCAAUGCUAAAUAGUUCUGCACAGAUUUAUCAAAAAGUAAAAAUAAAAGCAGAUUGAGAGGAGGAAUGAAUAAUUUUGUUUGUACAAAAUAUUAAAGUGUAUGUAAUGGGCUUGUAGGAUGCAUUAGUAAUUUUUAAAAAUCAAUCUUUACCCUACACUGUGUCCAUAAAAUGCUAGGCAUAUUCAUGUUAAUAUUACUGUUGUUACUGUCAUAUAAAUGCCAUAUUCAAUGUAGAUGCUCAGAAAAAUAUGAUUGUUUUGCUACAGGAGAGAUUAGACCAGGGACAAUAAAUAUGGAUUAGGCAAGAAUGUGUUAACUCAGCAGCCCAGGGUUUUUUCAACCCUGCACAUUCAAAGGUAAGGUUUGUUUUUAGGACUAGCUAGCCUCUGAGUUCUGGAAAUAGUCUUACCGUGAAGAGUGUUUUUGUAUAUCUGAGGCCUUGGGUUUAUGGUGAAUGACUGACUUAUAUGCCUGAGGCCCUGAGCCAUGCUGUAUUUAUUUGAACCAUGUGGUAUCAAUUUAACCAGAUACGUUUAUUCUAAGAUAUGAUUUAUGCUGAAUGCCUGGUUUUGUUCUAGAGGGAUCAUGGAAAGGAAGCUGAAUUUGCCAAGUUUUGCCACUUGGGCAUUGCAUGCCUAUGUGAUUAACCACCAAUAAAAACCUGGGACAUCAAAGAAUAAAUAAGCUGCUCUAAUUGCCAAGAAUUCACAUGUGGUUGUAUGCAGCUUUACUGGGAGACUGAAGUGUAUCUGCAUGUGAUUCUGCUGUGAUGGACACUUGAUCUUGAGAUGACGUCAUACUGGAUGAUCCUAGUGCACCCUAAAUCCAAUAAGUGUUCUUAUGAAAGACAGAAGAGGAGAAGAUACAGGAAAUAGAAGAAGGCUACUUGAGGAUGGAAGCAGAGAUUGGAGUUAUGCAGCUACAAACCAAAGAAUGCCUUGAGCCACCAGCAGCUGAAAGAGCUAGUCAGCAAUACAACUGGGAUUUGAUAUCAGAUUCAUACGAUUCCGAAGACCCUGACCACCAAAUGCAAAAGAUGCUGUAGUCUGAGUAGCUGAAAUCACUCAUAUAGGCACCACCUUACAUGACUGAUGCCCAGUAAAAGCCCUGGAGACCAAAACUUAAAUGAGCUUCUCUGAUUGACAACACUUCAAUAUGCUGUCAAAUAUUGUUGCUGGGAGAAUUACGUGUGUUCUUAUGGGAUUCCACUGGGAGAGGACACCUGAAAGCUUGUACCUGAUAUCUUCUACAUUUCUCCCCAUGGGCUUUUUUUCUUUGUUGAUUUUAAUCUGUAUCUUUUCAUUGUAGUAAACUGUAACUAUGAAUGUAAUGUGUUUUCUAAGACCUGUGAAUCAUUAUAGUUAAUCUUUGAGCCUAAGGGUGGUCAUAAGGAGCCCCAACACACUAAUAAAUUACUUUCAUAAAGAAUAUAUAAAAGCUGUCAAAAAUCAAAAAUAAAACAAAUCACCCAAUUUUUUAAAAGGCAAAAGAUUGAAAAAGACGUCAUGAUAGAAGACAUGGAUGACAAAUAAGUAUAUCAAAAAAUUUUAACAUCUGUAGUCAUUAAAGAAUUGAAAACCACAAAGAAAUACUACUGAUAGUUAUUACAAUGUCCAAAGUGAAAAAAAAUAUUGACCCUACCAGGUAUAUGCAACAAAAUGGAGGAACUGAAACGUUAAUAUACUUUUGAUUGACAACCACUUUGUAAAAUAGAUAGAUUGACAGCUUCUUAAAAAAGUAAACCUAUGCUUACCACUUAAUCUAGUCAUUUAUCUUCUAGAUAUUUCCCCCUCGAAAAAUGAAAAAGAAAUUGUUGUAUAUAAAUAUUCAUAGGCAUUUUCUCUUUAAUAGCUAAAAUGUGGUCAUGACCCACAUAUUCAUUAACAAGUAAUUGGUGAUAUAUACGUACAGCAAAAUUCUGCUCAGCAAUGAAAAGGUUCGACUACUGACACAUGCAACAACAUGAAUGAAUUUCAAAAGAAUUUUGCUGUAAAGCAAAAAUGCCAGCCAAAAAAUAGUGCACCUUAUAUGAUUCCAUUUAUAUAAAACUUCUGGAUGCACCAAUAUACAAUAUACAGUAAUAUACAAUACUGAAAGAUGGUCAGCAGUUGUCUAGCUAAGAUGCUUAUUAGGAGAGACAAUAAUUGCAAAAGGGGAUUAUUAAAAGUAGUCAUGAGGAAACAUUUUGUGGAUUUAUAUGUUCACUAUCUUGACAAUAAUGAUGAUCUCACGGAUGUAUAAAUAUGUCAGAGCAUAUCUAAUAAUUUAUCUUACAUAUUUUUGGCUUUUAAUAUGUUAAUUAUAGCUCAAUAAAUUUCUUAAAAACUCAUUGGACUCUAUCUGUAAUGUGUGUAUGUUUAGUUUUAAGUAGAGUGCAGCUAAAUUUUUCUCCACCAUUACAAUUUUCAAACAUACUUUCACUUACAGAAUAGCAUACUGAAAAUUAACACAUGCUUUUAUAAUUAUAAAUAAAAUAGUAAUAUAUCAUUUCUGCUGAAAUAAAUGCAAACCAAUUACAAGGAAUUUAUUAGUUUUUAUUUUAGUUACUUCAUAUAUAUUAGCAUCUAAGCCUCAAAGAUUCACUAUGUAAUUGUGUAAAUUAGUAGUAGGGUUACCUGAAUCUGGCUUAAUAGUGAAUUAAUCAGUAUUUAUCUUUAAACAUUUUUUCCUUUAUGAAUUGUGUCACACUUUUAAAGAGCCCUUCCUACAUUACAAGCAUGUAUAAAAUAUAUUCUUAUACUAUUUUAGAAUAAUUUCAGAAGUUAGAUUGUUUUCUAGAUUUAGUGUUUUCAUUGAUACCAAAUUUAUUUUUAUGUACAUAAAUGUAUGAUUUUAAGUUAGAUUAUUUCAAACUGGUAUCCCUGCAAUUAUCUGAACAAAAAU
rnacentral:lncRNA from 1 species